rnacentral:rRNA from 1 species
AGUGAACGCUGGCGGCAUGCCUAACACAUGCAAGUCGAACGACAGCACAGUAAGUGCUUGCUCUUACGGGUGGCGAGUGGCGGACGGGUGAGGUAUACAUCGGAUUCCACUUUUUCGUGGGUGAUAACGUAGGGAAACUUCCUCUAAUCCCGCAUAUGUCCUACGUGUGAAAGCAGGCGUUCUUCUGACCUUUCGCGAUUGAAUGAGCCGAUGUCGGCUUAGCUAGUUGGCUGGGGAAAGGCCCAACAAGGCGACGAUCCGUAGCUGGUCUGAGAGGAUGUUCCGCCACACUGGAACUGAGAAACGGUCGCGACUCCUGCGGGAGGACGCAGUCGGGAAUAUUGCGCAAUGGGCGAAAGCCUGAUACAGCAAUACCGCGUGGGUGAAGAAGGACUUCGGGUUGUAAAGCCCUUUUGUUGGGAAAGAAAAGCAGCAGGUUAAUACGCCGCUGUUAUGACGGUACCGAAAGAAUAAGCACCGGCUAACUUCGUG